rfam:Anditalea andensis strain LY1 Contig_15, whole genome shotgun sequence.
ACACAGGCUCUAGAAGUGAUUAAGAGCCACCCAGAUAAAUUUGAAGUGGAAGU